rnacentral:rRNA from 1 species
AUUGAACGCUGGCGGCAGGCUUAACACAUGCAAGUCGAGCGAGCGGCGGACGGGUGAGUAAUGUCUGGGAAACUGCCUGAUGGAGGGGGAUAACUACUGGAAACGGUCGCUAAUCCCGCAUACCAUCAGAUGUGCCCAGAUGGUAUUAGCUAGUAGGUGGGGUAACGGCUCACCUAGGCGACGAUCCCUAGCUGGUCUGAGAGGAUGACCAGCCACACUGGAACUGAGACACGGUCCAGACUCGUACGUGAGGCAGCAGUGGGGAAUAUUGCACAAUGGGCGCAAGCCUGAUGCAGCCAUGCCGCGUGUGUGAAGAAGGCCUUCGGGUUGUAAAGCACUUUCAGCGAGGAGGCGUUACUCGCAGAAGAAGCACCGGCUAACGCCGUGCCAGCCGCGGCGGUAAUGC